UGCCAGCAGCCGCGGUAAUACGGAGAGGGCAAGCGUUGUUCGGAAUCACUGGGCAUAAAGCGCACGUAGGCGGAUUGGAAAGUCGGUUGUGAAAUCCCGGGGCUUAACCCCGGAACUGCUUCCGAAACUGCCAGUCUGGAGGAUGAUAGGGGAGAGUGGAACUUCUGGUGGAGCGGUGAAAUGCGUAGAUAUCAGAAGGAACACCGGUGGCGAAAGCGACCUUCUGGGGUGCUUGUGACGCUGAGGCGCGAAAGCUAGGGGAGCGAACGGGAUUAGAUA
rnacentral:rRNA from 1 species